CGGGCUGUCCCUGUGGACGGCGCGCCCAAAGCGAGGGGCCUUCUGCGCGAACUAGACUGUGCGCGCGGGGCGGCCGGCGAACUUAUACCAAGCUCGACCUCAGAUCAGGCAGGAGUACCCGCUGAACUUAAGCAUAUCAAUAAGCGGAGGAAAAGAAACCAACAGGGAUUGCCCCAGUAGCGGCGAGUGAAGCGGCAAAAGCUCAGAUUUGGAAUCGCUUCGGCGAGUUGUGAAUUGCAGGUUGGCGCCUCUGCGGCGGCGGCGGUCCAAGUCCCUUGGAACAGGGCGCCAUUGAGGGUGAGAGCCCCGUGGGACCGUUUGCCUACGCUCUGAGGCCCUUCUGACGAGUCGAGUUGUUUGGGAAUGCAGCUCUAAGCGGGUGGUAAAUUCCAUCUAAGGCUAAAUACUGGCGAGAGACCGAUAGCGAACAAGUACUGUGAAGGAAAGAUGAAAAGCACUUUGAAAAGAGAGUGAAACAGCACGUGAAAUUGUUGAAAGGGAAGGGUAUUGCGCCCGACAUGGAGCGUGCGCACCGCUGCCCCUCGUGGGCGGCGCUCUGGGCGUGCUCUGGGCCAGCAUCGGUUUUUGCCGCGGGAGAAGGGCGGCGGGCAUGUAGCUCUUCGGAGUGUUAUAGCCUGCCGCCGGCGCCGCGAGCGGGGACCGAGGACUGCGACUUUUGUCUCGGAUGCUGGCACAACGGCGCAACACCGCCCGUCUUGAAACAUGGACCAAGGAGUCUAACGUCUAUGCGAGUG
rnacentral:rRNA from 1 species